rnacentral:rRNA from 1 species
GACGAACGCUGGCGGCGUGCUUAACACAUGCAAGUCGAACGCUGAAGCUCAGCUUUUGUUGGGUGGAUGAGUGGCGAACGGGUGAGUAACACGUGAGUAACCUGCCCCCUUCUUUGGGAUAACGCCCGGAAACGGGUGCUAAUACUGGAUAUUCACUGGUCUUCGCAUGGGGGUUGGUGGAAAGGGUUUUUCUGGUGGGGGAUGGGCUCGCGGCCUAUCAGCUUGUUGGUGGGGUGAUGGCCUACCAAGGCUUUGACGGGUAGCCGGCCUGAGAGGGUGACCGGUAACAGUGGGACGGAGAUGAGGCCCAGACUCCUACGGGAGGCAGCAGUGGGGAAUAUUGCACAAUGGGCGAAAGACUGAUGCAGCGACGCCGCGUGAGGGAUGGAGGCCUUCGGGUUGUGAACCUCUUUCGCUCAUGGUCAAGCCGCAACAAUGGUUGUGGUGAGGGUAGUGGGUAAAGAAGCGCCGGCUAACUACGUG